rnacentral:rRNA from 1 species
UACGUAGGGUGCGAGCGUUAAUCAGAAUUACUGGGCGUAAAGCGUGCGCAGGCGGAUUGUUAAGCAAGAUGUGAAAUCCCCGGGCUUAACCUGGGAAUGGCAUUUUGAACUGGCAGUCUAGAGUGCGUCAGAGGGGGGUGGAAUUCCACGUGUAGCAGUGAAAUGCGUAGAGAUGUGGAGGAACACCGAUGGCGAAGGCAGCCCCCUGGGAUGACACUGACGCUCAUGUACGAAAGCGUGGGGAGCAAACAGG